UUUUUCCGAAUACCAGGAGGUUUUAGGCUAAAGCCCGUAAUCUCCCAAGCCCAAAACCACAUGUAUUAUUAGUUUUGCCCCAAACGUCACUCGAACUGACGACCUCUAAGCUUUGCCUAGAGUCUUUACCAAUUGAGCUUGGUUCUUUAAUGUGGUUUACACUGAAUUUAUUUUAGUGGUAUGUGAUGUUUUCUUUCUAUUGGAUUUAAUUCCUAGCGGUUCAUGUUCAGUGGUCUUAGGAU
rnacentral:sRNA from 1 species